GACGAAAGCAUGGGUAGCAAACAGGAUUUGGUACCCUGGUAGUCCAUGCUAUAAACAAUGAAUAUUAAAUGUUUAAAUAAAUAGAAAUACAAAAUUUAACAUAAAAAGUUAACACGUUAAAUAUUUCGCCUGGGGAGUAAAACCGCAAGGUUGAAACUCAAAGGAAUUGACGGGAGCUUAUACUUACGGUGGAGCAUGUGGUUUAAUCCGAUAGUCCGCGUGGAAUCUUACCAAUUUUUGACAGUCCUAAGUUAUACCUAGGAAACAGGUGUUGCAUGGCCGUCGUCAGCUUAUGUUUUGAAAUUUAAGAUAUAAGUACAACCCUUACUUUAAUUUACUAAUAUUCAAAAAAAUUAAAAAUAUUUAAUUAUAUUGAAUAAGUACUAUUAAAUUUGAAAUAUGUAAAUAUUUUAAAGGAUGAAGAUAGGUCGUUAUGACCCUUAUAAAUUGGGCUACAA
rnacentral:rRNA from 1 species